CCGCCGAAGCGAGACCGGCCGCGCAUCUGAGCGUUUGCCUGUUCGGUCACCCGUCUGCCUGUUUUUUUUUUUUUUUUGUUUUUUUUUUUAAGAUUUAGCCUGCUUUGGUGGGCUCCCGGCGAAUUCUUGUGUUCCUUCUGAACAUCGACAUGGCACCACUGCACUAUUGGACUACGGCAAGCUGACGUCAUCUGGUGGAGCUUCCUACGGGAACUACUAAUGCUUACCUGGUGCCACAACGUUGGAUGAAUGUAGAAAAAGCCCGCAACGAGAAUUUAUAUAGAAUAAAGCAUUUCCUCAUUUCACAA